CCCUUAGAUGUUCUGGGCUGCACACGCGCUACACUGAAGGGAUCAGCGUGUUCUUUUCCUGGUCCGAAAGGAUCGGGUAACCCGCUGAACCCCCUUCGUGGUAGGGAUCGGAGCUUGCAAUUAUUCUCCGUGAACCAGGAAUUCCCAGUAAGCGCAAGUCAUAAGCUUGCGUUGAUUACGUCCCUGCCCUUUGUACACACCGCCCGUCGCACCUACCGAUUGAAUGGUCCGGUGAAGCCUCCGGAUUGGCGCGCACCUCGGUGCCGCCGAGAAGUUGGCUAAACCUUACCAUUUAGAGGAAGGUGAAGUCGUAACA
rnacentral:rRNA from 1 species